AAGUCGAACGAGAGAUGAAGAGCUUGCUCUUCAAAUCGAGUGGCGAACGGGUGAGUAACGCGUGAGGAACCUGCCUCAAAGAGGGGGACAACAGUUGGAAACGACUGCUAAUACCGCAUAAGCCCACGGCUCGGCAUCGAGCAGGGGGAAAAGGAGCAAUCCGCUUUGAGAUGGCCUCGCGUCCGAUUAGCUAGUUGGUGAGGUAACGGCCCACCAAGGCGACGAUCGGUAGCCGGACUGAGAGGUUGAACGGCCACAUUGGGACUGAGACACGGCCCAGACUCCUACGGGAGGCAGCAGUGGGGAAUAUUGCACAAUGGGGGAAACCCUGAUGCAGCGACGCCGCGUGGAGGAAGAAGGUCUUC
rnacentral:rRNA from 1 species